rnacentral:rRNA from 1 species
GACGAACGCUGGCGGCGUGCUUAACACAUGCAAGUCGAACGGAAAGGCCCUGCUUGCAGGGUCCUCGAGUGGCGAACGGGUGAGUAACACGUGGGUGAUCUGCCCUGCACUUCGGGAUAAGCCUGGGAAACUGGGUCUAAUACCGGAUAGGAGCCAUUUUUAGUGUGAUGGUUGGAAAGUUUUUUCGGUGUAGGAUGAGCUCGCGGCCUAUCAGCUUGUUGGUGGGGUAAUGGCCUACCAAGGCGGCGACGGGUAGCCGGCCUGAGAGGGUGGACGGCCACAUUGGGACUGAGAUACGGCCCAGACGCCUACGGGAGGCAGCAGGGGGGAAUAUUGCACAAGGGGCGCAAGCCUGAUGCAGCGACGCCGCGUGGGGGAGGACGGCCUUCGGGUUGUAAACUCCUUUCGCUAGGGACGAAGCUUUUUGUGACGGUACCUAGAGAAGAAGCACCGGCUAACUACGUG